CUGAUACAGCUCAUGGACUAAUCAGCUUCAAAGAAAGAACCCCAACUCCUUAUUUAUGUUCUUCCCCAUCCUACCUCCUUCCACCCAGCAGCCACCAUACGUUUCAUCAUUUCCAUCAAGAAGAAAACUUCUCAAAAUUCAAACACUUUGAUCCUCAAGAAAACGUACUUCUCAAUACUCUGAAGAGUUGUGAGGUUUUUGUGUUCAGAACAUUUUGAGUCUCAUGGCAAACUUGGUUCACAAAUCCGGUAAGGCAGCAUCGCCUGAGAAAUCAAACUUUGCUCAGACAUGCAAUCUUUUGAGCCAGUAUUUGAAGGAAAGAG
rnacentral:misc_RNA from 1 species